rnacentral:rRNA from 1 species
UGACGUCAAAUCAUCAUGCCCCUUAUGUCUGGCUUCACGCAUGCUACAAUGGCCGGUACAAAGGCUGCAAUACCGUGAGGGAAGCGAAUCCCAAAAAGCCGGUCCCAGUUCGGAUUGAGGUCUGCAACUCGACCUCAUGAAGUCGGAGUCGCUAGUAAUCGCAGAUCAGCAACCGCUGCGGUGAAUACGUUCCCGGGUCUUGUACCACCCCGCCCGUCAAGUCAUGAAAGUCGUAACACCUGAAGCCGGUGGCCUAACCCUUGUGAGGAGCCGUCGAAGGUGGGAUCGGUAAUUAGGACUAAGUCGUA